rnacentral:rRNA from 1 species
UACGUAGGGUGCAAGCGUUAAUCGGAAUUACUGGGCGUAAAGCGUGCGCAGGCGGUUUUGCAAGUCUGUCGUGAAAUCCCCGGGCUUAACCUGGGAAUGGCGAUGGAGACUGCAAGGCUAGAGUUUGGCAGAGGGGGGUAGAAUUCCACGUGUAGCAGUGAAAUGCGUAGAGAUGUGGAGGAACACCGAUGGCGAAGGCAGCCCCCUGGGUCAAAACUGACGCUCAUGCACGAAAGCGUGGGGAGCAAACAGG